rnacentral:rRNA from 1 species
GAUGAACGCUAGCGGCAGGCUUAACACAUGCAAGUCGAGGGGUAUAGUUCUUCGGAAUUAGAGGCCGGCGCACGGGUGCGUAACGCGUAUGCAAUCUACCUUUCACAAAGGGAUAGCCCAGAGAAAUUUGGAUUAAUACCUUAUAGUAAUACGACUUGGCAUCAAGAUGUAUUUAAAGAUUUAUCGGUGAAAGAUGAGCAUGCGUCCCAUUAGCUAGUUGGUAAGGUAACGGCUUACCAAGGCAACGAUGGGUAGGGGUCCUGAGAGGGAGAUCCCCCACACUGGUACUGAGACACGGACCAGACUCCUACGGGAGGCAGCAGUGAGGAAUAUUGGUCAAUGGGCGAGAGCCUGAACCAGCCAAGUCGCGUGAAGGAAGAAGGAUCUAUGGUUCGUAAAACUUCUUUUGCAGGGGAAUAAAGUGCAGGACGUGUCCUGUUUUGUAUGUACCCUGAGAAUAAGGAUCGGCUAACUCCGUG